AUGAAGAGAGAUUAUCAGAACUCCGGGGUAACGAUGGAAUCCUACACCGGUAACGACAAGGACAGAUACUACGGAAGGAUCGAGGAUAUCUGGGAGAUGAGCUAUGCUGGAGAGAAGGUCCCGAUGUUCCGUGUCAGAUGGGCCAAGAGCGUCCUAAAAGAAGACCAUUAUUUCACCACCAUGGUUAUACCCGAAGCCAAAUCCAAGACCGCGGGCGCAAAAGUCACCGCGAAAAAUGAGCCAAGGGUACUGGCUUCCCAAGUGGACCAAUGCUUCUUCAUUACCGACCCGUCAAAGCCCAGUCGUGUUGUCGUGAGGAGAGGCAAAAGGAAGAUCAUCGAAAUGGAUGGAGUCGCCAAUGAGCAAGACUUUGACAAGUACGGCGACCCGAAGAUGGAACAUGACGACGACGAUGAAGUACCAUACACCACAAGAAGAAGCAGGACCACCCUACCUAAAGGACGUCCGUUCAAGAGAAGAACUCCAUUUUCAAAAAAUAAGGGCAAUAAGAUUGUGAAAAGAUAG
rnacentral:rRNA from 1 species